rnacentral:rRNA from 1 species
UACGUAGGGGGCAAGCGUUGUCCGGAAUCAUUGGGCGUAAAGCGCGCGUAGGCGGCGCGGUAAGUCGGGUGUGAAAUCUCGGAGCUUAACUCCGAAACUGCAUUCGAUACUGCCGUGCUUGAGGACUGGAGAGGAGACUGGAAUUUACGGUGUAGCGGUGAAAUGCGUAGAUAUCGUAAGGAAGACCAGUGGCGAAGGCGGGUCUCUGGACAGUUCCUGACGCUGAGGCACGAAGGCUAGGGGAGCAAACGGG